rnacentral:rRNA from 1 species
AGUGAACGCUGGCGGUAGGCCUAACACAUGCAAGUCGAACGGCAGCACAGUAAGAGCUUGCUCUUACGGGUGGCGAGUGGCGGACGGGUGAGGCAUACAUCGGAAUCUACUUUUUCGUGGGGGAUAACGUAGGGAAACUUACGCUAAUACCGCAUACGACCUGCGGGUGAAAGCAGGGGAUCUUCGGACCUUGCGCGAUUGAAUGAGCCGAUGUCGGAUUAGCUAGUUGGCGGGGUAAGGGCCCACCAAGGCGACGAUCCGUAGCUGGUCUGAGAGGAUGAUCAGCCACACUGGAACUGAGACACGGUCCAGACUCCUACGGGAGGCAGCAGUGGGGAAUAUUGGACAAUGGGCGAAAGCCUGAUCCAGCCAUACCGCGUGAGUGAAGAAGGCCUUCGGGUUGUAAAGCCCUUUUGUUGGGAAAGAAAAGCAGCAGGUUAAUACCCCGCUGUUCUGACGGUACCCAAAGAAUAAGCACCGGCUAACUUCGUG